rnacentral:tRNA from 1 species
ACCUGGCUGGCUCAGUCAAUAGAGCAUAAGACUCUUGAUCUUAGGGUUGUAAGUUUGAGCCUCACGUUGAGUG